GUUAAUGUAGUUUAUAAAAAUAAAGUAUUUUCAAUACUUAGAUAAAUUAAUCUAUUUUAUUAAUU
rnacentral:tRNA from 1 species